GCAGACACUUUUGGUAGAAUUUGCUUCAGUC
rnacentral:piRNA from 1 species